rnacentral:rRNA from 1 species
AUUGAACGCUGGCGGAAUGCUUUACACAUGCAAGUCGAACGGCAGCACGGACUUCGGUCUGGUGGCGAGUGGCGAACGGGUGAGUAAUGUAUCGGAACGUGCCCAGUCGUGGGGGAUAACGUAGUGAAAAUUACGCUAAUACCGCAUACGAGCGAUGGAUGAAAGCGGGGGAUCGCAAGACCUCGAGCGAUUGGAGCGGCCGAUAUCAGAUUAGGUAGUUGGUGGGGUAAAGGCCCACCAAGCCAACGAUCUGUAGCUGGUCUGAGAGGACGACCAGCCACACUGGAACUGAGACACGGUCCAGACUCCUACGGGAGGCAGCAGUGGGGAAUUUUGGACAAUGGGCGAAAGCCUGAUCCAGCCAGUCCGCGUGCAGGAUGAAGGCCCUCGGGUUGUAAACUGCUUUUGUACAGAACGAAAAGGUUUCUACUAAUACUAGGAGCUCAUGACGGUACUGUAAGAAUAAGCACCGGCUAACUACGUGCCAGCCGCCGCCGUAA